rnacentral:rRNA from 1 species
UACGAGGGGGCGAGCGUUGUUCGGAAUUAUUGGGCGUAAAGGGUGCGUAGGCGGGUUUUUAAGUCAGAGGUGAAAUCCUGGAGCUCAACUCCAGAACUGCCUUUGAUACUGAAAGUCUUGAGUAUGGGAGAGGUGAGUGGAACUGCGAGUGUAGAGGUGAAAUUCGUAGAUAUUCGCAAGAACACCAGUGGCGAAGGCGGCUCACUGGCCCAUUACUGACGCUGAGGCACGAAAGCGUGGGGAGCAAACAGGG